rnacentral:RNase_P_RNA from 2 species
AAAGAAAGCCAGGUGAUCGCCGGCCUGCCCCGCUGAGGCGGAGGUGGGCGGGAGGAAAGUCCGGGCUCCGCAGGGCAGGAUGGUUCCUAACGGGAACCGGGGGCGACCCCAGGGAAAGUGCCACAGAAAGUAAACCGCCCGCAACGCCUCGGCAAGGCGGGUAAGGGUGAAACGGUGAGGUAAGAGCUCACCAGUUCCGGCGGUGACGCCGGAAGCUCGGUAAACCCCAUCCGGAGCAAGGCCAAAUAGGGAAGUGUUUGAGGGCGGCCCGCCCGAGACUUCCGGGUUGGCUGCUUGAGGCCGCCGGCGACGGCGGUCCUAGAGGAAUGAUCAUCGCCCUGCAUGCGGGUAACCGGUGCGGGGAACAGGACCCGGCUUACGGCUCUCUUUGGCC